rnacentral:rRNA from 1 species
UCGCUCCUACCGAUUGAGUGUUCCGGUGAAUAAUUCGGACUGCCGCUUCGUGGGGAUCCCUCAUGUUGCAGCGGAAAGUUUAGUGAACCUUAACACUUAGAGGAAGGAG